rnacentral:rRNA from 1 species
GACGAACGCUGGCGGCGUGCUUAACACAUGCAGGUCGAACGGAAAGGCCCUGCUUUUGUGGGGUGCUCGAGUGGCGAACGGGUGAGUAACACGUGAGUAACCUGCCCUUGACUUUGGGAUAACUUCAGGAAACUGGGGCUAAUACCGGAUAGGAGCUCCUGCUGCAUGGUGGGGGUUGGAAAGUUUCGGCGGUUGGGGAUGGACUGGCGGCUUAUCAGCUUGUUGGUGGGGUAGUGGCUUACCAAGGCUUUGACGGGUAGCCGGCCUGAGAGGGUGACCGGCCACAUGGGGACUGAGAUACGGCCCAGACUCCUACGGGAGGCAGCAGUGGGGAAUAUUGCACAAUGGGCGGAAGCCUGAUGCAGCAACGCCGCGUGCGGGAUGACGGCCUUCGGGUUGUAAACCGCUUUCGCCUGUGACGAAGCGUGAGUGACGGUAAUGAGUAAAGAAGCACCGGCUAACUACGUG